rnacentral:lncRNA from 1 species
GCGGAGUGGGCAGCGAGCGCGACCGAAAGUUCCAACUCCACCAAACUCCCGCGCGCGGCCCACCCUGUUCCCGGGAUUUCGGGGAUGACACGGGGGCCAGGUGAGGGGGCUGCGCACUUUUGGAUCGGCCCCACACACUCGGGCAGCUGGCGCGGCGCGCUCCCCGCACACGCGCCCGCCCCCUCUCCCGCGGUCGCACGCACGCGCCCGCGCCCUCGCCCUCGCCCCGCGCGCACAGGCGCGUACUCCCACCCGCGGCCGUGCACCCGCCGCGCUCCCUCCCGCGCGUGUCCUCUCUCCCCGAGCGGCCGCCAGGAUGUGCCCCCGGCCCCGUCGUCGCGGCGCCCGCGCCCCUCGCCCCAGUGUGGACGUGGGGAGGAUCUUCUAAGUCCCUCCAACGAAGGCAAGUGUGAGACUCUGGCCCUUUAUUUGUAAGAAGCAAGCCUUCAGAUUGCAGAAGUGUCGCGCGGGUCGCCAUGCGUUGCGCGAGUGGGAAGAUGGAGGAGGCCGGCACGCUGCUUUCGUGGACGCAAGUGAACCGGCCGUGAAGGCAGGGUGCGAGCUCUGCCCUUGGCCCAGCCCUGCGUGGGCGCCGUCCCAGAUUCCGGGCGGUGCGGGGUGCAGAGAUCUGGAGAGAGUUGCGGGGUGCAGAGAUCUGGAGAGACUUGCGGGCUCCCCAGCGCAGGCUGCUCUGGGAUUUCGUUGGAAGAUCCGGCAGAGCCUUGGAGGAGAGGGCCCGGGAGGCUGUGUGUGCAGCGGAAACUUGUACGAAUGCCCCCACAGCGGAAAUGGUGCGCACGAGUAAUUUCUGCGGUGCACCCUUUUAAAAAUUGACAAGUGAACAAGAUCAAUUUUUUAAGAAAGCAAAGGUAGAAAACAAAAGGCGUGCGACUUCUUGACUGGCUUGUUCCCGCCUUUCUUCCUUCUCUAUACUCAGAUCAGAAACUUUAAUUGCUCUUAUUCAGUGCGACAACUUUUAAUAAAAGCAUUUGCAUUUUAAGCCUGAGUUGCAACCAUAGAUUUGUUGCGAAGUGACAACGUGUCUAUGGAAUAUUUUCGCAGAUGAGACAGGACAUGCGCUCUAGUCGUGCCCAGAUUAAAGGGACGCUGGUCCAUGUGCCUGUGUAGUGCAGACUCGGAGGGGCACACACAUACUCGUCAUCACAUGACCACUGUCUAUUAAUAUUGUCAUACCUAAACACUCGCAAAAACAAAAGUUGCUUUUCUU